GAUGAACGCUGGCGGCGUGCCUAAUACAUGCAAGUCGAGCGAACGGACGAGAAGCUUGCUUCUCUGAUGUUAGCGGCGGACGGGUGAGUAACACGUGGAUAACCUACCUAUAAGACUGGGAUAACUUCGGGAAACCGGAGCUAAUACCGGAUAAUAUUUUGAACCGCAUGGUUCAAAAGUGAAAGACGGUCUUGCUGUCACUUAUAGAUGGAUCCGCGCUGCAUUAGCUAGUUGGUAAGGUAACGGCUUACCAAGGCAACGAUGCAUAGCCGACCUGAGAGGGUGAUCGGCCACACUGGAACUGAGACACGGUCCAGACUCCUACGGGAGGCAGCAGUAGGGAAUCUUCCGCAAUGGGCGAAAGCCUGACGGAGCAACGCCGCGUGAGUGAUGAAGGUCUUCGGAUCGUAAAACUCUGUUAUUAGGGAAGAACAUAUGUGUAAGUAACUGUGCACAUCUUGACGGUACCUAAUCAGAAAGCCACGGCUAACUACGUGCUAGCAGCCGCGGUAAUACGUAGGUGGCAAGCGUUAUCCGGAAUUAUUGGGCGUAAAGCGCGCGUAGGCGGUUUUUUAAGUCUGAUGUGAAAGCCCACGGCUCAACCGUGGAGGGUCAUUGGAAACUGGAAAACUUGAGUGCAGAAGAGGAAAGUGGAAUUCCAUGUGUAGCGGUGAAAUGCGCAGAGAUAUGGAGGAACACCAGUGGCGAAGGCGACUUUCUGGUCUGUAACUGACGCUGAUGUGCGAAAGCGUGGGGAUCAAACAGGAUUAGAUACCCUGGUAGUCCACGCCGUAAACGAUGAGUGCUAAGUGUUAGGGGGUUUCCGCCCCUUAGUGCUGCAGCUAACGCAUUAAGCACUCCGCCUGGGGAGUACGACCGCAAGGUUGAAACUCAAAGGAAUUGACGGGGACCCGCACAAGCGGUGGAGCAUGUGGUUUAAUUCGAAGCAACGCGAAGAACCUUACCAAAUCUUGACAUCCUUUGACAACUCUAGAGAUAGAGCCUUCCCCUUCGGGGGACAAAGUGACAGGUGGUGCAUGGUUGUCGUCAGCUCGUGUCGUGAGAUGUUGGGUUAAGUCCCGCAACGAGCGCAACCCUUAAGCUUAGUUGCCAUCAUUAAGUUGGGCACUCUAAGUUGACUGCCGGUGACAAACCGGAGGAAGGUGGGGAUGACGUCAAAUCAUCAUGCCCCUUAUGAUUUGGGCUACACACGUGCUACAAUGGACAAUACAAAGGGCAGCGAAACCGCGAGGUCAAGCAAAUCCCAUAAAGUUGUUCUCAGUUCGGAUUGUAGUCUGCAACUCGACUACAUGAAGCUGGAAUCGCUAGUAAUCGUAGAUCAGCAUGCUACGGUGAAUACGUUCCCGGGUCU
rnacentral:rRNA from 1 species